AUCAUUAUUGAGUUUAAUUGAAACAGGUUGUAGCUGGCCUUUUGUUAGGCACUGUGCACGCCUGGAUCAAUUUCCCACUCUUCAACCACUGUGCACUUUUUGUAAGAUUGGCUGUAAGAUUUUUUCUGUUGCUCCGGUAGUAGCAAAAAUUUGAAGGCCUCUCUUAUGUUUACCACAAACACAUCAGUUUCAGAAUGUCAUUGUUGUUUUUAUAACACCUGUAUAUACAACUUUCAGCAACGGAUCUCUUGGCUCUCGCAUCGAUGAAGAACGCAGCGAAAUGCGAUAAGUAAUGUGAAUUGCAGAAUUCAGUGAAUCAUCGAAUCUUUGAACGCACCUUGCGCUCCUUGGUAUUCCGAGGAGCAUGCCUGUUUGAGUGUCAUGGAAUUCUCAACUUGUUAGAAUUUUGUUCUAAUAAGCUUGGACUUGGAGGCUUGUGUCGGCUUAUGCAGCCCGACUCCUCUUAAAUUCAGUAGCGUGAAUUUGUAUGGAUCGCUUUCAGUGUGAUAAUUAUCUACGCUGUGGUGUUGAAGUAUUAAUUAUGUUUGUGCUUAUAACAGUCUCUUGACUGAGACAAUUCUCACAUAUGACAUCUGACCUCAAAUCAGGUAGGACUACCCGC
rnacentral:rRNA from 1 species